GACGAACGCUGGCGGCGUGCUUAACACAUGCAAGUCGAACGGAAAGGCCCUGCUUUUGUGGGGUGCUCGAGUGGCGAACGGGUGAGUAACACGUGAGUAACCUGCCCUUUACUUUGGGAUAACUUCAUGAAACUUGGGCUAAUACCGGAUAGUAGCUCCUGCUGCAUGGUGGGGGUUGGAAAGUUUCGGCGGUUGGGGAUGGACUCGCGGCUUAUCAGCUUGUUGGUGGGGUAGUGGCUUACCAAGGCUUUGACGGGUAGCCGGCCUGAGAGGGUGACCGGCCACAUUGGGACUGAGAUACGGCCCAGACUCCUACGGGAGGCAGCAGUGGGGAAUAAUGCAAAAUGGGCGGAAGCCUGAGGCAGCAACGCCGCGUGCGGGAUGACGGCCUUCGGGGUGUAAACCGCUUUCGCCUGUGACGAAGCGUGAGUGACGGUAAUGGGUAAAGAAGCACCGGCUAACUACGUG
rnacentral:rRNA from 1 species